rnacentral:rRNA from 1 species
AAAAACAUAGCCCUAGAAUUCAUCUAAGGUGUAACCUGCCCAAUGAUUUUUAAUUAUAACAAUCAAAAAUUGUGAAAAAAAAUUAAAAGGACGCGGUAACCUUGACCGUGAUAAUGUAGCAUAAUCAUUCGCCAUUUAAUUGAUGGAUAGUAUGAAUGGUUGAACGAAUAUUUCACUGUCUUAAAAAGAAAUAACAGAAAACUAGAAUAAUAGUAAAGAUACUAUUUAAGAUUGUAAGACGAAAAGACCCUAUAGAGCUUAACUAUAAUCUCUUUAUUAUAACAAAAUUAAAAGUAAAAACAGAGAGAUUGGUAGUUUAGUUGGGGCGACUGUCUUUUAAAAAAAACAAAGACAAGCAAAGAAAAUAAAAAACUUAUUGUAUAAUAUAUAAAUUUAACAAUUAUAAAAAUAGGCUAUAAUGACCCGUUAUUACUACAUAACAAGAAUAACGAUCAAUAAAUAAAAGCUACCUUAGGGAUAACAGGAUAAUUUUAUUCUAGAGACCUAAUCGAAAAUAAAGUUUGUCACCUCUAUGUUGAAUUAAGAUAUCCUGAUAAUGCAGAAGUUAUCAAAGGUAGGUCUGUUCGACCUUUAAAAUCUUACAUGAUUUGA